rnacentral:rRNA from 1 species
UAUGGUCGACCUGCAGGCGGCCGCGAAUUCACUAGUGAUUCGUAUUACCGCGGCUGCUGGCACAGAGUUAGCCGGUGCUUAUUCUGUCGGUAACGUCAAAACAGCAAAGUAUUAAUUUACUGCCCUUCCUCCCAACUUAAAGUGCUUUACAAUCCGAAGACCUUCUUCACACACGCGGCAUGGCUGGAUCAGGCUUUCGCCCAUUGUCCAAUAUUCCCCACUGCUGCCUCCCGUAGGAGUCUGGACCGUGUCUCAGUUCCAGUGUGACUGAUCAUCCUCUCAGACCAGUUACGGAUCGUCGCCUUGGUGAGCCAUUACCCCACCAACUAGCUAAUCCGACCUAGGCUCAUCUGAUAGCGCAAGGCCCGAAGGUCCCCUGCUUUCUCCCGUAGGACGUAUGCGGUAUUAGCGUCCGUUUCCGAACGUUAUCCCCCACUACCAGGCAGAUUCCUAGGCAUUACUCACCCGUCCGCCGCUCUCAAGAGAAGCAAGCUUCUCUCUACCGCUCGACUUGCAUGUGUUAGGCCUGCCGCCAGCGUUCAAUCUGAGCCAUGAUCAAACUCUAAUCGAAUUCCCGCGGCCGCCAUGGCGGCCGGGAGCAUG